rnacentral:rRNA from 1 species
CACGUAGGGUGCGAGCGUUGUCCGGAAUUAUUGGGCGUAAAGAGCUCGUAGGCGGUGUGUCACGUCGUUCGUGAAAACCUGCAGCUUAACUGUGGGCGUGCGGUCGAUACGGGCAUCACUGGAGUUCGGCAGGGGAGACUGGAAUUCCUGGUGUAGCGGUGAAAUGCGCAGAUAUCAGGAGGAACACCGGUGGCGAAGGCGGGUCUCUGGGCCGAUACUGACGCUGAGGAGCGAAAGCAUGGGGAGCGAACAGG